rnacentral:rRNA from 1 species
UACGGAAGGCAGCAGUGGGGAAUAUUGCACAAUGGGCGAAAGCCUGAUGCAGCUAUGCCGCGUGUAUGAAGAAGGCCUUAGGGUUGUAAAGUACUUUUCAUCGGGGAGGAAAAACAAAACUAAUAAUUUUAUUUCUUGACGUUACCCGAAAAAGAAGCACCGGCUAACUCCGUGCCAGCAGCCGCGGUAAUACGGAGGGUGCUAGCGUUAAUCAGAAUUACUGGGCGUAAAGAGCACGUAGGUGGUUUUUUUAAGUCAGAUGUGAAAUCCCUGGGCUUAACCUAGGAACUGCAUUUUGAAACUGAAAUACUAGAGUAUCGUAGAGGGAGGUAGAAUUCUAGGUGUAGCGGUGAAAUGCGUAGAUAUCUGGAGGAAUACCUGUGGCGAAAGCGGCCUCCUAAACGAAUACUGACACUGAGGUGCGAAAGGCGUGGGGAGCGAAACAGGGAUUAGAUACCCGU